AAUGAACGUUGGCGGCGUGGAUUAGGCAUGCAAGUCGCACGAGAAACCAAUUAGCUUGCUAAGAGGUGGACAGUGGCGCAAGGGAGAGUAACGCGUGGUUACUUGCCCUCGAGACCGGGAUAGUGUCGGGAAACUGGCAGUAAUACCGGAUAACAUCUUCGGAUCAAAUGGUGUGAUUCCGCUCGAGGAUAGGACCGCGUACUAUUAGCUUGUUGGUGAGGUAACGGCUCACCAAGGCUGCGAUGGUUACCGGGUGUGAGAGCAUGGCCCGGCUCACUGGGACUGAGACACUGCCCAGACACCUACGGGUGGCUGCAGUCGAGAAUCUUCGGCAAUGGACGAAAGUCUGACCGAGCGACGCCGCGUGCGGGAUGAAGGCCCUCGGGUUGUAAACCGCUGUCAGUAGUUAGGAAGUCCAUGAGGGUUAUCUCUCAUGGUUGACCGAUCUUCAGAGGAAGGACGGGCUAAGUUCGUG
rnacentral:rRNA from 1 species